ensembl:snRNA U1 U1 spliceosomal RNA
AUACUUACCUGUCAGGAGUGACACUAUGAUCAUGAAGGUGAUUAUCACAGGGCAAGGAUUAUCCAGUGCACUCCAGAUGUGCUGACCCCUGCAGUUUCCCCAAAUGCGGGAAACUGGACUGCAUAAUUUGUGGUAGUGGGGAACUAUGUUCUUGCUCUCUU